rnacentral:rRNA from 1 species
GAUGAACGCUGGCGGCGUGCUUAAUACAUGCAAGUCGAACGAAGAGCCUUUGUAGCAAUACGGAGGUUUCUUAGUGGCGAACGGGUGCGUAACGCGUUGGUGACCUGCCCCGAAGUGUGGGAUAACAGUUCGAAAGGAUUGCUAAUACCGCAUGUGGUCAUUGGGUUUAGAAGCCAAUGACUAAAGCAGAAAUGCGCUUUGGGAGGGACCUGCGUCCCAUCAGCUAGUUGGUGAGGUAAUGGCUCACCAAGGCUUCGACGGGUAGGGGACCUGAGAGGGUGGUCCCCCACACUGGCACUGAAACACGGGCCAGACACCUACGGGUGGCUG